GAAAAUCUGGCAAUAAGCACAUACAGUUGAAAGAGCUUGAAGGUUGGGGAGGAUUCUAGAGUUUACAAUAAGACAAAUAGUACUCUAAGGGGAUGCAAUCUAGGAUUACAUUUUUGCCCUGAACUAUUCAAUAUAUAAGAGAUAUCUCCACCGCCAUUAUCAUUCGAGAAGGCUCUGUUCCUCUGUCAAUAUGAAGACCUAUCUUCAGCCGACAUCAUCCUCCUCCGUCACAAUCAAGAUCGGAAAAGGCUUGCUCCGAAACUAUCAGUUUUGAGUCUUCCCCAGUUCUCAAUAUUGUUGACUGGAAUAUUUGGCUGUUGUUGCUUUGUUGAUUCGGUACUGUUGUCUCUACCGUGAAGGUGAUCAGGACCCCAGACUGAGUUGCAACUGCUUCGGUCUUCAUUGCCUGUAGACAUGAAAAUAAGCCACGCAGUGUAAAAGAAAACAUUCCAAACUUUGCCAACGUUUGGGAAUCUCAAGCAAUUGAACUUGGACCUCCUUUCAUACCAAAGUAAAAGUAAGGAAGAUUACAUUUCAGGUGUCAAGCUUAAUAAUGCUUCAGAGAAGUUAGGAAGAAGUUUGUUACAGGAGCUUCUGUUGUUAAGAAAAAAUAGAGUCCAACUCGCUACGUGAAAAUGUUGACAUCAUGUCCACAAAAUGAGUUGGUGAACAACACCAAAGUAGUAAUUGAUGGUAAUCUGAUCACAAGCAGGGGACUUGAUACUGUUAUCGAAUUGCAUUCGCUAUUGUGUGUCAAACUUGAUCGGCUUGCACUUCAUCUAGAUUCUCAUGUUGCUUCAUCCUCCAUAUUAACAAGCAAUGGGAAGAUUUGCUUCCAUCAGAGUUUGUUUAGGUCUUGGUUUGCUGAUAACUUCUAAACAAAGGAAUCAGUCAUGAAGUUCAUGAAACUUGGUUGCACUGAUGACUUCUCACACUAUAAGAAGUGCUGAGUUCUUGGACAACUGAGGAAAUUGAGAAGGGAAACUUGAUAUAUAAGUUUCAAACAUUCUUCAAAUCUUGCAUACUCCAUGGCUGGAGGGACGGAACUUCCAUUAUACAAAACACGAAGGUUAAAUGAACGUGAAAGAUUUGUUUGAAACUGAAAACUUCAUUUGAUUAUUGUUAGUUGUUAGAUCACUUAAAAUGACAGAAAUUGAUAAUUGUUAUACGCCCUAAAUGCAGUUAUUUGUCUAUACAAGCGGAUUUAUUUGUAAUAAUAGUAAGUCCCGCGGCAACGCGCGGGCAAAUUUCCUAGUUUCCUUGAUAAACCAAGUAUAAAAUCGAUGAAGUCAACAGUUUUGUACUUACUCCCAAUUUACUAUAAAAAUUGCCUUUCAUCCGUUUUGCUUUUUAUUUAAUUAAUGUUUCUUACUUUCCAACCUUCCAGGCAUCCUUUUGCUAUUCACGAUUGUGGCUUUUGAAUGUCUCACUAUUCCAAGCGACUUCAUGCUUUUUUAUUGUCAAAAAAAUACCUCAUGCUUUUUCACAUUUUAUUAUUAUAAGUGAUUAAAUAGUCAUUAAAAAGCAAAAAGGAGUCACCCUAUUUCGACUUCGACACAUCGUCUUCUAGGUCCCAAAAAAAAAAAAAAAAGUUAUUGUAUGUUUAUUUCCAGCCUCUCCAAGGUUCGGCUCCUAAUUCCGCCACUGCUUGUUUAUGUAUUGAGCCAUAGAUCUCUUCACACCGAGGUGGACACACAUGCGCGCACUUGGUUUGUUCAGGGUGUUUGGGUCAUGGAGAAGUUUUUGUUUUGCAGAGCUCGAUCCUAAUUCCAAUAAUCAUGUCUCAUUAUUCUGGAUGGUUCACAAAGUCAAGGUUCGUGGUACGUUCGCAAAGAAAACUUCUAUAAACGUUUAUUUAUUUAUUUUAUUUUUUUUGUUAAACUUUGUUAGUUUGCUACUGUUCUCAAAAGCUUUAGGUUAUGGGUAAAGGUAAAUCUAUUAGCACUCUCGACUUCUGGAUUCCUUUUUAAUGUAAGUUAUCCAUCGAUACUGCUUUGGCUUUUAGAUAUCUCCAGUUCUGUUGAUUUAUGAUUCCCCAUGUGUUCAUUUGCCCCAAGCUUGGAAGUUAUCUUCCUCCUGGACUCUUUAAAAGGUCACAAUUAUUAUGUCUUUAUCAAACUGAUCCCUUCAUGCUUUGAUUGUGAAAAGGGAUCAAUUUUAAAAAAUAAUAGUAAGUGAUAUACGUUGUUCAAUGAUACCAAAGUAUAUUGAAAAAGAUAAGAAAAUUAGUCCUAUUUUUGGUGAAUUUUCUUGAACCAUCUGUCUUAUUGAUGUGGCCCUAGCCUCUCUGGGGUAGGUCAUGUUGUGUAAUCACUUAUAUUAGAAUAUAUGAAAAACUUGUCGUCCUAUUUCAAAACAAAACAAAAAAAUCCUCGUAGUUUGUUUUUAUGUACUUUUAUCCAUCGGUUGCUUUGGUUUUGGGUUCUCCGCUGAUAACUAGUUUCUACCAACAGGAUCGAAAAUCAUUCCAUGUUUAUAUCCAGCCAUAUUCAGCAAGUGGACGGUCAGUACGUGAUACAUGGACCUUUUUUUCUUCGUAAUAGGAAGGUCUAGCUUGGUAGAAGAAAUUUAUCCUGGUAAAGUUUGGAAUCUGCGAUAAGCAAAAUCGAAUAAUUCCCUUAGAAACUACUAGAAGGAAAUUGUAUGAUUAUAAGAGAAGAAGAGGGAGAAGAGAAGAGUCAAUUGCAGAAUGAUUUGAUGAUUGAAACUUGUGGCAUGUACUGCUCUUUAUAUAGAGAUCAAGAGGUGCCAAAGACACCCUUUCAAUUUAAACAUAAUUGUUCAAUAUAAAGUAUGUACCUCUUCAUAAUUU